UUGGCUCAUUACAACAGCCGUUGUUACUUGGAUCUUGAUUUACUUGGAUAACUGUGGUAAUUCUAGAGCUAAUACAUGCAACCAAGCUCCGACUUCAGGGAAGGAGCGCAUUUAUUAGACCAAGACCAAUCAGGCUCUGCCUGAAAUCUGGUGACUCUGAAUAACUGUGCUGAUCACACGGUCCUAGUACCGGUGACAUAUCUUUCAAGUGUCUGCCCUAUCAACUUUCGAUGGUAGUUUAUGCGCCUACCAUGGUUGUAACGGGUAACGGAA
rnacentral:rRNA from 1 species